rnacentral:tRNA from 1 species
GUGGCUGUGGCUUAGUGGUGGAGCACUCGCCUAGCAUGUGUGAGGCCCUGGGUUUGAUCCUCAGCACAACA